rnacentral:misc_RNA from 1 species
UUUGGAAAAUUACGUGGCAUUCCAGACUGUCCCGUUUUACGUUACAACAAAAUAUAAACGUAGCCUAUUUUUUGUUGGAGGUACUCAAUGGCUACCUAUCAAGAAUUUAUCCAACAGAAUGAGGACAGAGAUGGCGUUCGCUUCAGCUGGAACGUCUGGCCCUCCAGCCGUAUUGAGGCCACUCGUAUGGUGGUCCCACUAGGAUGUCUGUUUACACCUCUGAAAGAGCGGCCAGAUCUGCCACCCAUUCAGUACGACCCAGUGCUGUGUACUAGGCCUACAUGUCGAGCCAUCCUUAACCCUUUCUGUCAGGUGGAUUACAGGGCUAAGGUCUGGGCCUGCAACUUCUGUUUCCAAAGAAACCCAUUUCCGCCCCAGUAUGCAGCUAUUUCAGAUCAACACCAGCCUGCUGAGAUCAUCCCACAGUUCUCAACACUGGAGUACACAAUCACUAGAGCCACAUGUCAUCCUCCCGUAUAUCUUAUUGUCCUUGACACCUGUAUGGAUGAAGAGGAUUUGCAGGCUGUCAAGGAGUCUUUACAAAUGUCUCUGAGCUUGCUGCCACCAAAUGCCCUCAUUGGAUUGAUAACAUACGGGAAAAUGGUUCAAGUCCAUGAGUUGGGCUGUGAGGGCUGCUCAAAGAGCUACGUAUUCAGGGGAACCAAAGAUUUGACAGCUAAACAGAUUCAGGACAUGCUGGGUUUACAAAGGGGUGGCACAACACAGCAACAGAGGGGCCCUCAACAGCAACAACAGCAGCAGUUGCCCUCAAACAGAUUUUUACAACCAGUUCACAAGUGUGACAUGAACCUGACAGACUUGCUUGGAGAGCUGCAGAGAGAUCCCUGGCCCGUGUCCCAAGGGAAGAGACCACUCAGGUCGACGGGUGUGGCCAUGUCUAUAGCUGUGGGUCUGUUAGAGUGUACAUUCCCAAACACGGGGGCGAGGAUCAUGCUGUUUGCCGGUGGACCCUGUACACAAGGACCAGGCAUGGUGGUGGAUGACGAGCUGAAGAACCCCAUCAGGAAACACCUGGACAUUGAGAAGGACAAUGUGAAGUUCAUGAAGAAAGCAAUGAAGCACUAUGAAAUGUUGGCCAAUCGGGCGGCAAAGAAUGGUCAUGUUCUGGAUAUAUAUGCUUGUGCCUUGGACCAGACAGGAUUACACGAGAUGAAGUUCUGUCCUAGAUACACAGGUGGUCAUAUGGUGAUGGGUGAUUCCUUCAACACCUCCCUCUUCAAGCAGACUUUCCAGAGGGUGUUCUCCAAGGAUGCUAAGGGAGAGUUCAAGAUGGCCUUUGGUGCUACUGUGGAAGUCAAGACAUCGCGGGAGCUGAAAGUGUCGGGAGCCAUUGGACCCUGUGUGUCUCUAGGGGUGAAGGGACCUAGCGUGUCCGACACAGAGAUGGGCCUGGGGGGCACCUCCCAGUGGAAGAUGUGUGGACUCUACCCCAACACCACCCUGGCUCUAUUCUUUGAGGUUGUCAGUCAGCACAAUGCUCCAAUCCCCCAGGGAGGAAGGGGUUACCUACAGUUUAUCACCCAGUACCAACACUCCAGUGGACAGCGCAGGGUCAGGGUCACCACACUGGCCAGGAAUUGGGCCGAUGCCAGCACCAACAUCCAGCACAUUGCAGCGGGAUUUGAUCAGGAGGCGGCAGCUGUACUGAUGGCACGAACCGCCGUGUUCCGAGCGGAGACAGACGACGGACCAGACGUUCUACGCUGGCUAGAUAGAAUGUUGAUUAGACUGUGUCAGAAGUUUGGAGAUUACCAAAAAGAUGAUCCAAACUCUUUCCGUUUCUCAGAGAAUUUCUCUCUUUAUCCUCAAUUUAUGUUUCAUCUGAGACGCUCACAAUUUUUACAAGUUUUUAACAACAGUCCUGAUGAAACAUCCUACUAUAGACACAUGUUGAAUGUAGAGGACUUGACACAGUCCCUUAUUAUGAUACAACCUAUCCUGUAUGCCUACUCCUUUAAUGGAACUCCCGAGCCUGUUUUACUGGACACCAGCAGUAUACAGCCAGACAGGAUCCUGCUGAUGGACACGUUCUUCCAGAUAGUGUUGUACCACGGAGAGACAAUUGCUCAGUGGAGGAAACAAGGAUACCAGGACCAGCCAGAGUAUGAGAACUUUAAACAACUCCUCAACGCCCCCGUGGACGAUGCUCAGGAAAUCCUACAGACCCGGUUCCCCAUGCCCCGAUACAUUGACACGGAGCAUGAUGGCUCCCAGUCUCGUUUCUUGCUUUCCCGAGUGAAUCCCUCACAGACACACAACAACAUGUAUGGAUGGGGACAGGUAAGGAUGGCCUUCAUUGACUCAGUAGUUUAUCUGAUAUAUGUUCCAUAAUAAAAACCUAAUGCAAUUUCUACACAUGUACAUAUAAAUCACCAAUUUUUACAGUACCCAAAACUAAAUUAUAAAUGAUGGUUCAUAGUAUAUGCUAGUAGCAUCCAUCUUUAACUGUAUAUGACUUUUCCAUUUCAUCAGCAAUCAUCUGGAAUGGUUUGUAUUUUCUCUCCUUAUGAUGUCUUAAUUUGGGACAGAUAUUGUAAAUUUCCUUUUAGUAGCAUUGUCCAAGUAGAUUGGUUUCAGACACAAACUGGUUUUGGAAUAACAGCUGUUUACAUCUAAUUCCACUGAUUCAACUAAAACAAUAAGUUGAAUACUAGUACAUUGUAUUAAUACGAGGUCCAGUGAAUUAUGUUGCUCUCUUAUAGAUCAUAAGCUCAUCUGAGUCCUAUCAGGUAUUUAACAUGGGCAUCUCAGGCUACAGCAUGGAGGGGGAAAUGCAUGCGGAAAUUUUAUUUAAUGUUUAAAUGUCUGUUGGUUUAUGUACCGUACAUGUAAUUUCCAUGAAUGAUAACUCAACAACUUAUCCUUGGCUGUAACUGUGUAAUGUUGAUUUCUGAAAAACUUACCCAUGAUUGGAUGUAUCUGACAGAAAAAAGACAACAGUAUAUAGGAAUGUUGUUGGGUCAUUCAUGGAUGAAAUGUCAACUUAUUAUUCAGCUGUAGUCCGUCUUGAUAUGAUUACAAUAUUUCCAGGAAGGCUGGAGCACACACUGUUUUGUUUUUUAGGUCUUGUGUAAUGUUAAAUGCACUUAUAUAUUUAUAUAUACGUGUACCUAUUCCAGUACAAAUAAAUAAAGACAUCAAUUUACAUACAUGUAUGUUAAAAGUAUAAAAUUUCUUUAUCAAAAUCAUUUGGUGCUGUAGUCAUAGGACUUUCUUCUCCUUACUUCUAUGAUUUUUCAGCUUUUCUUUCUGGGUUUUCUUUUGCACUGGAUAAUAAUUAUUUUUUCUAUAGAUUCUUCUUGGUUGAUGGAGAGUGUCUUGAUUAUUUAUCAUUUAAGUUAUCCCAAAACUACAGUCUCUCUCCUUCAAAUAUGUAGCCAAGUGACAUUUACUUAAGCAUGUUGUAUUUUGACUUUCAGGACGGUGGUGCUGCUGUGCUAACGGAUGACGUCAGUUUGCAGGUGUUUAUGGAACAUUUAAAGAAACUCGCUGUGUCCAGCUCAUCGUGAUAGAGCUAGAAACGAUGGUUGUCAUCGGCGACAAUGACAGAAUGACUCUCUAACACGACGCAGUGACCCCCGGGUCACUACAGCAUUGCCUUGUGCCAAGUACAGAGGGAUUCCCCCUCCCCUGUACGUCAUAAACAGAUAAACUGUGCAAUUUAUUGACACUAUUACAAGGACUGUGUCCUUUUUAUUAAAGAUGAUUUCAUUUCAUUCUUUUAUGUGUGAAGUUUAAUGUAUGGUUGUAAGGAUAUGUGUAGUGAAUGGACUUUGGACCUUUAUCUUAUCAGAUAUAUGACGUACACUUUGUUAUAUAUGUACAUGUAUGUGUGGAUUUUGUGAAUGCUAUUUAUGAAUUGUUGUAGAUGGUUAAUAAAUAAACAUGCUAUGAAACAU